rnacentral:rRNA from 1 species
UUAUGAAUAAGGAUCGGCUAACUCCGUGCCAGCAGCCGCGGUAAUACGGAGGAUCCGAGCGUUAUCCGGAUUUAUUGGGUUUAAAGGGAGCGUAGAUGGAUGUUUAAGUCAGUUGUGAAAGUUUGCGGCUCAACCGUAAAAUUGCAGUUGAUACUGGAUAUCUUGAGUGCAGUUGAGGCAGGCGGAAUUCGUGGUGUAGCGGUGAAAUGCUUAGAUAUCACGAAGAACUCCGAUUGCGAAGGCAGCCUGCUAAGCUGCAACUGACAUUGAGGCUCGAAAGUGUGGGUAUCAAACAGGAUUAGAUACCCUGGUAGUCCACACGGUAAACGAUGAAUACUCGCUGUUUGCGAUAUACUGCAAGCGGCCAAGCGAAAGCGUUAAGUAUUCCACCUGGGGAGUACGCCGGCAACGGUGAAACUCAAAGGAAUUGACGGGGGCCCGCACAAGCGGAGGAACAUGUGGUUUAAUUCGAUGAUACGCGAGGAACCUUACCCGGGCUUAAAUUGCAGAUGAAUUACGGUGAAAGCCGUAAGCCGCAAGGCAUCUGUGAAGGUGCUGCAUGGUUGUCGUCAGCUCGUGCCGUGAGGUGUCGGCUUAAGUGCCAUAACGAGCGCAACCCUUGUUGUCAGUUACUAACAGGUUCCGCUGAGGACUCUGACAAGACUGCCAUCGUAAGAUGUGAGGAAGGUGGGGAUGACGUCAAAUCAGCACGGCCCUUACGUCCGGGGCUACACACGUGUUACAAUGGGGGGUACAGAAGGCCGCUACCUGGUGACAGGAUGCCAAUCCCAAAAACCUCUCUCAGUUCGGAUCGAAGUCUGCAACCCGACUUCGUGAAGCUGGAUUCGCUAGUAAUCGCGCAUCAGCCACGGCGCGGUGAAUACGUUCCCGGGCCUUGUACACACCGCCCGUCAAGCCAUGGGAGCCGGGGGUACCUGAAGUGCGUAACCGCGAGGAGCGCCCUAGGGUAAAACUGGUGACUGGGGCUAAGUCGUAACAAGGUAGCCGUACCGGAAGGUGCGGCUG